UACAAUUUAUUACACAUUUGAUACAUCUUGUUCUUUUAUUUCCCUCUACCCCUAGGCUAUGCCUACUCGGGGUACCACUAUCUCUGGUCUCUGGGUAGGGCGCUAUCUACGGAGCUACGCCCUUGCCUCGCGCCGCCGCGCCGCUCACGUGCAAACCUGUAAAACCCCAAAACAACGUGGGGUGAGAACCAACUCCAUGGUUCCCAGUGGGUACGGCCACCCAAGGGAAAAGCUCGACCAAUAGGUCCAAGGAGGCACUGCAACACGUUAGUCCAAUAACAUAUAACAGAUAUAUAUUCAAUAUUGAACUAAAUGUCAUGCCUCGCAAAAUGCAAUAUGCAAUACCUGUAACUUUGUGCAAGUAGAUUACUUGAUUCUACUUCAUAUUAUUAGCCAUUCUUUACUUGUAGCCGUUCUUUACUUUAUUAGCUAUUCUUUAUCAUUAGCUUUUCUCUAGUCUUUACUUAGUCACAUUACGCUCAUCGGCGAUUCUUUCCUAAGGUUACUCAUAUCUUAGCCAUCUAUGCCACUCGACUCGGUCUUCAGUCAAUCCUCUGCGGAUAGUCCGCACACUGGCUGCUCAACAGCCCAUCGCACUCGAUGACUCGGCCACCCGGCGGCGAAAUCGUCGCACACGCUCGGCUCUGGCUCAAGUCACCCUGCGGCAUGAUCCACAAACUGGCUCAACCAUCCGGCGGCGAAAUCGUCGCACACGCCACGACAAUGGUUCUUUAGCCCCGGGCGGUGAAAUCGUCGCACACACCCCGCACCACUCUUGGUGUUCCACAAGUCCUGGGAUUCCGGAAUCCACUUCCACGGGUCGAGGGUCCAUAGCCAACCCUAUGCCGUCGACCUAGAACAUCCUAGUGGUUGCUACCACUAUACUCAACAACCUAGGUUCAAUGCCACUCUAGGUUUACUAUUCAACCUAUGUUCACUAACACUGGGUUGUUCAACAUCACUAUGUCCGACCUAUGUUUAUUCACAUUAGGUUAGAUGCCACUCGAUCUAUUUGCUUCUAGGUCUACUCACGACCUAUGUUCUUUAACAAUAAGUUAGAUGCCACUCGAUCUAUUUGAUUCUAGGUCUACUCACGACCUAUGUUCUUUAACAAUAGUUAGAUGCCACUCGAUCUAGUUCACAUUCUACCUGUCCAUACCGAGUGUUCCAAUUAUACAAUCCUAUUUUCCAAUGUCAUUUCUCUAAUCAAGCUAGAGUUAUCAACCAAGUUCAUGUUUCAUAAAUCUAGCAUAAUAUCCUACAUUAGUAGGCACUUUAUCUAACAUUCAUUUCUACAUGAAUAUGUUAUCAACAUGCAUUUCAUUCUAUGCAUUAUAUUUACAUGCAUCCUUCUAGUUUACAUGCGUAUAUAUAUAAUCUUUUAUAUACAUCUAUUUCAGCAUUUACAUCAUAUCAUGCAUUACUAGCAUUACAUUAUUAUCAUGCAUUACUAGCAUUAUGUAACUUGCACACUUUAACUCUAACUAGCUCUUUAUGGUAGUUUCAUAAGUUCAAUCUCAAUGCUAACCAAUACUCUGAUUAUAGUGUCACAAAUCCACUAUUGUCUUGGUUCACAAUAAAUUCAUGCAUUUAUAGGUUUUUAUGUUCACAUACUACUAUUCAUUGGUUCUCAACAUUGAUAGAAAUUCAAAUAUUUCAUUAUCAUUGGUAUAGUGCCAAUACCCUAUAAUACAUGAAUACUAAUAAUAUGCUCAAUGAAACAUUAUAGACAUAAUACUAGCAUUAUGUAACUUGCUCACUAUGCAUUUCUACUUAGCAUUUACAUUAACACGCAUUAUUUAACGCUUAUAUGCAUCAACCCGAAUUCUUAAUUUGCUUAGACAUAAAGGCGACCUAGUCGCUUCGGUAAGCACAACCCACCUCGAUUCGCGUUCCGAUUGCUUGUCGACACUUGCAAUCGGCCUCCCGCGGCACCCGUAUCCGGCACGGCCCAAUAUUGCAACUGCGCCACAACCGUGCUUC
rnacentral:lncRNA from 1 species